rnacentral:rRNA from 1 species
UAGGGAAUCUUCCGCAAUGGACGCAAGUCUGACGGAGCAACGCCCGUGAGUGAAGAAGGAUUUCGGUUCGUAAAACUCUGUUGUUAGAGAAGAACAGCGCAUAGAGUAACUGUUAUGCGUGUGACGGUAUCUAACCAGAAAGCCACGGCUAACUACGUGCCAGCAGCCGCGGUAAUACGUAGGUGGCAAGCGUUGUCCGGAUUUAUUGGGCGUAAAGCGAGCGCAGGCGGUCAAUUAAGUCUGAUGUGAAAGCCCCCGGCUCAACCGGGGAGGGUCAUUGGAAACUGGUUGACUUGAGUGCAGAAGAGGAGAGUGGAAUUCCAUGUGUAGCGGUGAAAUGCGUAGAUAUAUGGAGGAACACCAGUGGCGAAGGCGACUCUCUGGUCUGUAACUGACGCUGAGGCUCGAAAGCGUGGGUAGCAAACAGG